rnacentral:rRNA from 1 species
GACGAACGCUGGCGGCGUGCUUAACACAUGCAAGUCGAACGAAGUGGCAAACGGGUGAGUAACGCGUAAUCAACCUGCCCUUCAGUGGGGGCCAACAGUUGGAAACGACUGUUAAUACCGCUUACGGAAGGAGGAGUUUGCGUCGGAUUAGCUAGUUGGUGGGGUAACGGCCCUCUAAGGCGAUGAUCAGUAGCCGGUCGUGGAGGAUGAACUGACAACAUUGGACCUGGACAAGGCCCAGACGCCUAGCGGGGGGAGCAGGGGGGAAACUUUCGCAAAGGACGAAAGUCUGACGGGGCAACGCCCCGUGAGGUAGAACGGCCUUCGGGGUGUAAAGCGCUUUUACUCUGGACACGGUAACCGAAUAGAAAGCCACGGCUAACUACGUGCCAGCCGCCGCGGUAAUAC